GGGUCAUUAGCUCAAUUGGUAGAGCAGCGGACUCUUAAUCCGUUGGCUCUCGGUUCAAGUCCGAGAUGACCCA
rfam:Sandaracinus amylolyticus strain DSM 53668, complete genome.